rnacentral:rRNA from 1 species
ACGUAGGGGGCAAGCGUUAUCCGGAAUUACUGGGUGUAAAGGGAGAGUAGGCGGCAUGGUAAGUAAGAUGUGAAAGCCCGUGGCUUAACCGCGGGAUUGCAUUUUAAACUAUCAAGCUUGAGUACAGGAGAGGAAAGCGGAAUUCCUAGUGUAGCGGUGAAAUGCGUAGAUAUUAGGAAGAACACCAGUGGCGAAGGCGGCUUUCUGGACUGAAACUGACGCUGAGGCUCGAAAGCGUGGGGAGCGAACAGGAUUAGAUACCCUGGUAGUCCACGCCGUAAACGAUGAGUGCUAGGUGUCGGGGAGAGAUUCCCGGUGCCGGAGCAAACGCAAUAAGCACUCCACCUGGGGAGUACGAUCGCAAGAUUG